rnacentral:rRNA from 1 species
ACUCCUACGGGAGGCAGCAGUGGGGAAUAUUGGACAAUGGGGGAAACCCUGAUCCAGCCAUGCCGCGUGUGUGAAGAAGGCCUUCGGGUUGUAAAGCACUUUCAGUGGGGAGGAAAGGUUGUACGUUAAUACCGUGCAGCUGUGACGUUACCUACAGAAGAAGCACCGGCUAACUCCGUGCCAGCAGCCGCGGUAAUACGGAGGAUCCAAGCGUUAUCCGGAAUCAUUGGGUUUAAAGGGUCCGUAGGCGGUUUUAUAAGUCAGUGGUGAAAUCCGGCAGCUCAACUGUCGAACUGCCAUUGAUACUGUAGAACUUGAAUUAUUGUGAAGUAACUAGAAUAUGUAGUGUAGCGGUGAAAUGCUUAGAGAUUACAUGGAAUACCAAUUGCGAAGGCAGGUUACUAACAAUCAUAUUGACGCUGAUGGACGAAAGCGUGGGUAGCGAACAGGAUUAGAUACCCUGGUAGGAUAGCGU